rnacentral:lncRNA from 1 species
CAAAAACCUGCUCCAAACCUCCUGAGUCCCAGCUGUGGCAAGAAACUGAGGAGCAGAGGGGACAAACGAAGAGGGCAGGAGUGCAGAUGGGGCAAGGUUGAUCCAUGUGUCAACCUACAGGCUAAACCUGGGAGGAAAAACAGAUCCUCCCUCUUCAGCCCAGGACUCUGCAGAUGAGGAAGGAAGGUGAGGAGCCACUACACAAACCUGAAUUGCCUUGCCAUAUAGGAUUGCCCGUGUCCUCUGCAAGACCCAGAACACCAACCACACAUGUUCACCACACUCCCCUAGGACCUGAUGUGCAGCACAGCUGGUUUGGGUUCCUGCCCCCAGCCCCACCUGCACGGAGCAGACCAGCAGGAGGAGGGAAGCACAGUGCUGGAAGAUACACAUCCAUUAUCUUAUUACCCUUUGGCAUCAUCAGAGAUCCAUUAUGACUGAGGUCCAAAAUACAUUAAAAGCCUUUGAACUGAUCAUUUACAGCCAAUCAGCAGCAUCACUGUACUUGGGUAUUUCUAGAGGUUGCCUGGUGUCACCCUUGUGAUGCAUUUAAUGAUACAACCAGGAAAGACAGAAGAGCAGAGCCAAAAUACCCCCACUGUUACCAAACAUCAAUACUUUUAGAAGCCAUAUUAUGAAACUACAACUUUCUGACAUACAGUCAUGGUGAAUAUUAAUAAAUUUAUUAG